rnacentral:lncRNA from 1 species
CUUUUCUCAGGCAGCAGAGAGCACGUUUUGGGGAGCCGAUGCUGYGGCAGCGCGGCUUGGACAGUUCUGCAGCGCGCUGACUCCCCCGUCGCCAGAGUCCAGGCCUUGCAUCAGGCAACGUUAACGGCAGGGCUGCGGUGCCUUCGGUUUAGCAAUAAUUCACAGCUAACCAAAAAUCAGCCUGCGCAUGUGGGAAUUGCUAUAUGAAACUCCCUCUCCUCCCCGCCAAGGCACGUUGAAUCUCUGGCAGCUCACGAGCGGCCGGCAGACCACAAGUUCAGAAACACCCGUCUCGUCCUCUCCUCCUAACAGCUAACAGCGACUCCCGACCUGAGCAAAUUCUGCCAUGGCCGAAAGCAGAGGAUGUUUGCAGUGCAGGGAGCUGAUCUGCUGACUUACCCUUCAUCUCUCGCAAGAACGCCAGGUGAGGAAGCCAGUCUCGCGCUCAGGGGAUGAAGCCCAAGGAGCCCGGCAGCAGCCACUGCGGAGCUUGCUCAGAAGUUCACUCCCUCUGUCACAGUGUAUGCAGCUUGCCAGGUAUAGCCUCGAUGAGAACACCCUGUGCUUUUCCCAAGAUGAAUGAGAUCAGCACAUAUUCAGAUAUGGCUGCAACUCAGGCAUUUAUGUGGAUCAUCCCUGUGGCUUUUCCAUUGCUCUGGGGUCCUGUGAUGUCCCACCUGGCAGGAGCUGGCRUAUCUUAGACGUCCAUGAAAUGAAAGGUGAGGUGCUUCCUCGGAGAGUGCUAAACACCAGGGAGGGAGCUUGACUUAGACCAGAAAACAGCAUUGGUGAGAUACCCUGAGCAGAGAUAAAGUGACUGCAGACUUGUACAAGAAGGAAGUCAGGGGUAAGAUCUCUGGCUGUUUGAGCAGCAAUGUUGUGAAAAAGGCUGUUAGUGAC